AUCACGCGCUGUCCACGUGCAUGGAAAUCAAGAGAGCCAAUCAAAAGUUUUGACAAACGCGCCCUCAUCUCUUCUGCCAGGCGCCAUCUUAGCUCUAAACCGCAAAGCUAGCCCUUCUUUUUCAAGGUUUCCCAUGUAGGGCCCCACAUCCUUCCAAGUCCAGUUCUAACUGUUGUUUCCUGUCUUGCAUACAGAUUUCUCAAGAGACUGGUCAGGUGGUCUGGUACUUCUGUCUCUGGAAGAAUUUUCCACAGUUCGUUGUGAUCUACGGAAUCAAAGGCUUUGGGAUAGUCAGUAAAGCAGAAGUAGAUGUUUUUGUGGAACUCUUGCUUUUUCGAUGAUCCAACAGAUGUUGGCAAUUUGAUCUCUGGUUCUUCUGCCUUUUCUAAAACCAGCUUGAACAUCUGGAAGUUCACGGUUCACAAACUGUUGAAACCUGGCUUGGAGAAUUUUGAGCAUUACUUUGCUAGCGUGUGAGAUGAGUGAAAUUGUGUGGUAGUUGGAACAUUCUUUGGCAUUGGAAUGAAAACUGACCUUUUCCAGUCCUGGAGCCACUGCUGACUUUUCCAAAUUUGUUGGCAUAUUGAGUACAGCACUUUCACAGCAUCAUCUUUUAGUCUUUGAAAUAGCUCAACUGGAAUUCCAUCACCUCCACUAGCUUUGUUUGUAGUGAUGCUUCCUAAGGCCCACUUGACUUUGCACUCCAAGAUGUCUGGCUCUAGACCAAAGAAAUGCUUUCCUGAACCUGAGAUGAGGAUCCUGGGCAGGAGGCAAAGGCGGAGACAGAUCACAGGGCAGGCCUAAUGCUUUAGCCACUCUGGUCUUCCGGCACUUAAGAGCACGAACUGAGCCAAGGCCUAAAGGAGGAGGAAACAAUUAUCUCCUGGGAAAGGCCUCUGUAAUCUGGAACACAACAGAUUUCUCAGAGUGGGAGUUGAGAAAAGAGUGUCUCCCGGUUCUUGAUGAAACUUUUCAGUCUGUUUCAAGGACUUGCACCUGGGAAAAAUCACUGGCUUCUGGAAACAGUAUUAUUCUGUUAUUUAGGAACAACUUGCUGACGAGCAUCAGGAAAUCACCCUCAAUCAACUAUACUCCUUGUUAAGUGCUAGAAGACUCAUUAGAUAAUAACUCUAUUACAACAAUAAUGGUAAUAAGAAUGGGCUUUUAAGAGCAAUUAUUGAGUGCUUACUUCUAGGUGGCUGCUGCUGCUGCUACUGCUAAGUUGCUUCAGUCGUGUCCGACUCUGUGCGAC
ensembl:lncRNA